rnacentral:rRNA from 1 species
UACGAAGGGGGCUAGCGUUGCUCGGAAUUACUGGGCGUAAAGGGCGCGUAGGCGGGUCGUUUAGUUAGAGGUGAAAGCCCAGGGCUCAACCCUGGAAUUGUCUUUAAUACUGGCGGCCUUGAGUAUGGCAGAGGUGUGUGGAACUCCGAGUGUAGAGGUGAAAUUCGUAGAUAUUCGGAAGAACACCAGUGGCGAAGGCGACACACUGGGCCAUUACUGACGCUGAGGCGCGAAAGCGUGGGGAGCAAACAGG